UUAACUAAAUUUUGUAUGGAAUCGAAACGUUUGCCUAUGUUUGCCAUUAGGGGCGCUGUUCCAACUGCAUACAAAUUUGAGUUA
rfam:Bombyx mori DNA, contig: Bm_scaf27_contig17660, strain: p50T/Dazao, build 2, whole genome shotgun sequence.